rnacentral:piRNA from 1 species
UGAAAGAAAUGGUACACUCUAAAAUAACC